rnacentral:rRNA from 1 species
GGGGAAUUUUCCGCAAUGGGCGAAAGCCUGACGGAGCAACGCCGCGUGAGGGAUGAAGGCCUCUGGGCUGUAAACCCCUUUUCUCAAGGAAGAAGAUCUGACGGUACUUGAGGAAUAAGCCACGGCUAAUUCCGUGCCAGCAGCCGCGGUCAUACGUAGGGUCCAAGCGUUAUCCGGAAUUACUGGGCGUAAAGAGUUGCGUAGGUGGCAUUGUAAGCGAGUAGUGAAAGCGUUCGGCUCAACCGGAUAAACAUUACUCGAACUGCAAAGCUAUAGGAUGAGAGAGGUUAUUGGAAUUCCCUGUGUAGGAGUGAAAUCCGUAGAUAUAGGGAGGAACACCGAUGGCGUAGGCAGAUAACUGGCUCAUUCCUGACACUAAGGCACGAAAGCGUGGGGAGCG